CAUCCCCAUCCCCACUCCUCUUAUCUUACAAGUCACGCCGCCACCAUCUCCUUCACCUCGUAAACCAUAUGAUUACGCGUCUCCUCCACCACCCACUCAUUACUAAACAAGUUGAAUUUCUCUUCUCUUCAUGUUAUAGAUUGGUAAAACAAAUCAUUGCUGCAAGAGAGAGUUUUACCCUGGUGGCUUCUAUGCAUCUGAUCAAAAUGCGCGCCCUGAAAACUGCUUGAGAAUAAGAGGCUUAGCAUGGACGUUGUCUUUGCAGCUUUCAUGCAACUCAUUAUAUGGUUUAAUUAUUUAAUUUUGUUGUCAUACUCAUACACGAGAUAUGUUACUUGUGAUUUCUUUAUGUGGGCCAUUUUUGGUUACAUACCCUGAAAUUUGUUGUAUCAAUUGAAUAAAUCUGUUCAUUCAGUAUAAUUUAUUAAAGCCUUGAAGAUCCUGAAAUUGAUAAAUUGGAGCAUUGAAUAAACAUAUGUUCAUUUCA